UAGGGAAUCUUCGGCAAUGGACGAAAGUCUGACCGAGCAACGCCGCGUGAGUGAAGAAGGUUUUCGGAUCGUAAAACUCUGUUGUUAGAGAAGAACAAGGACGUUAGUAACUGAACGUCCCCUGACGGUAUCUAACCAGAAAGCCACGGCUAACUACGUGCCAGCAGCCGCGGUAAUACGUAGGUGGCAAGCGUUGUCCGGAUUUAUUGGGCGUAAAGCGAGCGCAGGCGGUUUCUUAAGUCUGAUGUGAAAGCCCCCGGCUUAACCGGGGAGGGUCAAUGGAAACUGGGUGACUUGAGUGCAGAAGAGGAGAGUGGAAUUCCAUGUGUAGCGGUGAAAUGCGUAGAUAUAUGGAGGAACACCAGUGGCGAAGGCGGCUCUCUGGUCUGUAACUGACGCUGAGGCUCGAAAGCGUGGGGAGCAAACAGG
rnacentral:rRNA from 1 species